GAACCCCCUCUUCUCCAGCCUCUGACCAAAGUGCUUAUUCCAGCAGGCUGAAGCUUAUUCCAAGCAGGGGUAUGCUCUAUCCAAUCCUGCAUGGUUCUUAGAUGUUGCUGUGUAGAGCCUCUCUUACAAGCUACACCUGUCAAUAAAAAAAAGCCUCUGGCCAAUGAACUGAGGCAGGAAGUAGGAGGUGGAAUACUGGCAGGAAGAGAAACAGAUUUCUGAAAAUAGUCAGAGGCUCAAGAUUCGAGGAAAAUGCUGAGGAAGGCCGGAACUGAAGGAGAAGAGGCUAGAAUACAGGGGACAUUCGCCCAGGAAUGCUGAGGAGACGGACAGACAGAAACCAGCUGGUAGCCGAACUCAGGAUUGGAUAAAGAGGAGAUUCGCCCUGGACUUGGAGGCCUGAAGCUGAGGAGAGCACAAGAGUAAAGGCUCAUGGGAAAAUAUGGGAUGAGACCCCAAGGACAAAAUGAAGAUUCAAGUGGAAGUCACAGGCAUGACCAACAGAUGGCACCAAAAAAAUCCCAGUCUCAGAUAAGUACCUCAGUGUGUGCCCCUCAGUCAGACCAGCUUUCUACUGCUGGCAAAGCUGUUUUAUCUACAUACUCCCUGCUCUAAUGUAGUGAAAUUAGCCUCAGCCUGCUGGUUCGACCUCAGGAGCUACAACUACACACUUACCGGUCUCCUAGCUCACUUUCAGUGCAUAGGCAGUAAGCCCUGGUAAGCCCAAUGCAGAGAUUCUAGAGUCAGGCUGCCUUGUAAAAUCCUACCUCCACUGAGUGUGUUGACUUGGGGCAAGCUGCUUUAGCUAGCUCUUGGGACUCACCCUCCAUCUAUUAAGAGAGGUUAUUACAAUACAUACCUCGUCUAAGGUUGCCAUAACGACCAAUUUGUUCUUGGCACUGUGCUUGGCACACACUAAUUAUUCCUUGUGAAUUAUCAGAACUAUCAGGAGAAAAAUAUAAACCUGGCUGAGAUGCUUGCUUUACAGAGCUGCCACUCUGGCAAUGUGGGCGAGCACUCGUCUUCCACUUUUCCCUGGCUUUAGCUUGACUUGAAGCUUCUACCAUCUUUAGUCCCCCCUUUUCUGAUCACAGAAACCUGUCUUACUCCAGUCACAUCUUGUGUCUGAAGUUGCAGUGUCCUGUGUACACAGAGAACACCAGGCUAGCAGUGAUAGAGGUAUUGACUGGGGCCUUGCAAAGUGUGAGACUCAAGACUCCUUCCACCGACACCCUGGCAACCCUCAUAGCCACUCAUCCUUCAGGCCAACCUGCUCUUUGGUCACCCUGCACCAGCAGUUCCAACCAGCUCUGGCACUUGUCCUAGGCAUUUUUCAACCUAGACCAUGAGGGCUUCCCAGUGCCAGGCCAAUCCCAGAAAGACAGUGGCUGUGGAAAGGCAGAACUCCAAACCAGCACAGGAAAUUCCCAGCAUUCCAUUAUCAACCCCAGGCUGCUUAUCUAUCAAACUGCUUUAGAAACCAAGAUGAAAUCGUGACACUUAUAAAAUGCUUGAGAGACAGAAGAACCUUUGACCAGUUGGGGAAGGAGUAAGUCAUUCAGGAGAUAAACUGACCAGAAAUUCCUGAGAGUACAGCAUAGGUUUGGAGAUCUUUCUCAGUUUUGCAAUCCAUGAAGGAUGACCCAGGCUUUCUCCUAAACUGGGGGUUGUUCUUAAGGUGUCCUAAGUUAUGCUAGGUGCCAACCUAGCUAUCAAGUCUAUGAGCAGAGCAGGUAAGUUAUCUAGGCUGUUUCGAAUCCCUUUUGUAAACUCACUCCUACUUGUAAAGACUUCUGAAUUUAGGUCUAGAACUCACUGGCUUAUUAGUUGGCGCUCCUUCUGGCACAGGUAACCACCUUCACCCUGAUCUGAAAGCUAUCACCCAGGAUGGCUACAAGAGUCCUUGUAUACUUGAUGCUUUUGGGCACAGACUUUGCUACUGGUAACUCACUUGUGACAGUUCGUUCUGUCUCCUUGGGUAUAUACUAAGCUCCCCAUUUUACUGUCCUAAAGCCUCACUUCUAGGAGCCAUACAUCAAUCACACACCUCGUGAAGAUUGUGGACUUGGAAUGAAACAUAAGACACACACUGCCUUAUAACCUCACUGAAGCUUGACCUAAGCUAUCCCCUCACCUUUAGUAGCAUAGCAAACACUUAAGACAACCUACACAAGAGAUGUACGUGCUCAGUAGCAGUCCUUUGUCCAGCAUGUUCAAGACUCUGGGCUCAAUUCUUAGCACUCUAAAAAUAGACCUAGGGGACAACUGGGGGAUAUGGCUAAUGGUGAUGCCUAGAGCUGCAUCAAUUCCCACCCACGCCAAUCUUAUUUCUUUUGAACCACUUUGAAUACAGAAACAAAUCUCACUAAGAAAAACUAACUCAAAACUUCAAUAAUAUUUUUUUUUAUUUACAAGUUAGAAUCAAGAAAGAAAAGACAGUCCAGGAGCCAACUGGAGAGGUGACUAAAAUCCCCAGGCCCCAAAUGGAGUGGAAGUAAAAGGGAAGAGUAGAAAAAAAAGUCAAUGUAAAAAACAAAAGAGCUCCCUCUUCUUCCCUCCCCAUGGAGGCUGGAGGGAGGACCUCGGCGCUACACACCCCCAGCCUUACCACCUAGCUUAAAUAAAUUAAAACCUCAAAACAGGGCCCUUAGAAGUGAACAGGACAGCUACAGCUCAGGGGGCUUUGUGCCAGGCCUAUACCCACUCCCACCCAUACCCUUGCCCCACCCCCAUCAUCCUCAACAGGGACACCACACCCAACAGGGCUAGGAAAUCAAUCCCUGCAUGUCCAUGUCCCUGCAUUCCUCCCCACUGCAGAGCCAGCUCUCCUAUGGAGGGGUCAGAUGAAGAAGCAUCACAGCAAGGGAAAAAGUGGGGAAGGGUGGUACAGGGGUCCGGUCCUGCGGAGCCUUCCUGCCCCAUCUGGCCUGGCCCCUUAACCCGAGUCUGAAUCGCUGGUGUCUGAAGAAGAUGAAGACGACGAGGAGGAGCUGGAAUCUGAGCUGGAACUAGAAGCACUGAGACGGGACACGGCCACUUGCUGUGCAGAUGACUCUGUCUUCUCACUCGCUGUAGAGCAAGUAGAGCAAUGUUAAAAGGUAGAAGAUGUGACAUUUUAUCAGAACAUUUUUGCCUAGUUAGUAGCCAAAAGGGCUAGUAUUCAAUUUAAAGGUGAGGAAGGGUGAAUAUAAGUCUGAAAUACCUUUCUUGGGGGGCUUUUUGGUGGAGUUGAGCUGUCCGCUGACAUCCUGCAACCGCUUCUCCAGCUCCCGCUUCUUCUCCAAAGCCAGUUCCUCCUUUGUUUUUCCCACAGGUUUUCUAAUAGCUGGAGGGAAAAAGUCAGGACUCACUCGAUUGCCCCAAGUCUUCCCAGAGUUGCCAACUUCCAUUCCUUAAUGAAGCAGCCCCAUUCAUGCUGGAUGCUGACUGCCACAAACACACAUGGCAAGCACACACCAAGAUCCCUAUAUUCUUGCUGUCUGUCCUCAGAACUACUACUGUGGAGAGACGUUAACUGAUGGAUAUCAUCUGAUACUCACUGUAGGGCUUUCGGGGUUUCUUUCGAAGGCAGGAUAAAACGUAUCGCUCAAGCUCUCUAAGUGUGGAUGGCUUGAGUGUUUCAAAAUCAAUCUCAAUUUCUUCCGGAUUUGAAUCGCGUAGAGAGGGCUCCCUGGCUUGGAUGAUAUGUACGACUCGACCCAGCUUUUCCCCAGGUAAUUUAUUAAUAUCCAGGCUUAACUGUCUCUUCUCAUCAUAACUCAUGGGCCUGCUUUCUUCUUCCUCCUCUGAAUCAUAGCCAGUGGGAAGGACAGGUGGAACUGUCUUCUGAGCCUUUUUAGGCAGCCUAUGGACAAUAGGAAAUUAUCAGUAACGAGUUUACACCAUGCAGAACUGGCUUAUACAAUACCCUUAAGACAAUCUUAAAUGCUUACUUGUUGCUACUUCCUCCGGAAGUCCCAAAACCAGGAUGGCUGAGUGAAGUAGCAUUGCUACCCCCACCACCUGCUUUCUUAGAUUUCUUGGGCGGGAGCGGGCGAGGUGCCCUAGGCCCUUUAUCAUCUUCAUCGAUCCCAAUUCGGCCACGAUGUUUCUCUGCCUUCCGUUUCUUCUUCUUUUCCUUUUUCUCUCUCUUCCGCUUGGGCUUAGAUAUUGGACCUUGGGACAGGGCAGCCAGUUGUUCAUGAACCGCCCGAAGCUACACAGGAGAAAGGCUUAGUAAUUAAUUAAGACCAAGAAACAAUUGGGAUCAACAUAGUCCAAGUUCUCACCCAAUUAAAGGCCACAAAAAUGAUUUACCUGCUCCUGUAGCUCUGCCAGGCGAUGAGCCCUUUCUUCCUCGGAGUCUGAGCUUUCACUCUCUUCCUCAUCAUCGUCAUCUUCCUCCUCUUCCUCAGAGGAACUCUCACUGCUACUUUCCUCACUGGAGGACUCUGAAGAGGAUUUGGCCAACCCAGGAGGCAAGGCAGUAGAGACUGGUAAAGGCCCUGGUUCCAGCGGCUCAUCUGGCAUCUUGGCAUAGCGGAACUCAAACACAUCCUAAAAAGACAGGCAGACUCAAAACUGUGUUUAAUGAAUGCCUAGCCACCCAGCACACUAGCUCCAACUUGAUACAAAAAUGGCAAAAUCUUACAAGUCUUAAUUGCACAGCAAAAAUUAAACUCUUAAGCAGUUCCUGUGGAGUAAAUUAAACUUCAACUUUCUUUCACACUCACCUGUAACUUUCGUGCCAUAGCCACGACAUCGUGGUCUGGAGGAUUGUACUUAUAGCAGUUGGAGAACAUAAGCCGUACAUCAGCAGCAAACUCCUGUGCAUCCCGGUAGUCACGGUUCUCCAUCUUCCGCUGCAGAAGGAGGCAGCAUGAGAAGCUGCACAGGCAGUCUCAUCUUUCCCUGCCAACCCGACUCAAGAGCAGCCCUCUCUUGAAACAAGUGGGGAUGACCUUAAGGAUCUGUGCCCUGGGGUUCAAGUUUGAAGUCCAAGGAUUUGGGGUAGGUUUGAAGAAAUAUCUAUGUCUAGAAGAAAACAUUUCUAAGUAACCAAGGCCAUCUCUCUCCCAUCACAUUUCCCUAACCCAACUCUUAUCCUUACUAUUAAAAAACCAGGGUUUCAAAGUA